rnacentral:sRNA from 1 species
AUAUAUGUACAAUUAAAGAAACUGAUGCUGAUAAAAUAUUAAAACAAGAUUUAAACUGUAUUAUUACUUUUGGUUGAUGAUAUUAUAAAUUUGUAUUAAUAUCGAUCCAAACCCGUCCCACCAUAUAACUCUCGUGAGAUAUUACUUUUUAUAAGUUUUAAUAUUUCAAUAAUCUAUUUCAAAAA